UACAGAGGUGGCAAGCGUUGUUCGGAAUUACUGGGCGUAAAGGGCGCGUAGGCGGCCAAGCAAGUCUUGUGUGAAAUCCCCCGGCUCAACUGGGGAACUGCACGGGAUACUGCCUGGCUUGAGUUCGGGAGAGGGAAGCGGAAUUCCGGGUGUAGCGGUGAAAUGCGCAGAUAUCCGGAGGAACACCAGCGGCGAAGGCGGCUUCCUGGACCGACACUGACGCUGAGGCGCGAAAGCUAGGGGAGCAAACGGG
rnacentral:rRNA from 1 species